UACGUAGGGUGCAAGCGUUGCUCGGAAUUAUUGGGCGUAAAGGGUGGGUAGGUGGUCUUAUUUGUCUGGGGUGAAAGCCUUGAGCUUAACUCAAGAAGUGCCCCAGAAACGGUAAGACUAGAGUCCUGGAGAGGGUCGUGGAAUUCCUGGUGUAGCGGUGAAAUGCGCAGAUAUCAGGAAGAACACCGGUGGCGAAAGCGGCUCUCUGGAACGGUACUGACGCUGAGACGCGAAAGCGUGGGGAGCGAACAGG
rnacentral:rRNA from 1 species